GGCCUAACACAUGCAAGUCGAACGGCAGCACAGUAAGAGCUUGCUCUUAUGGGUGGCGAGUGGCGGACGGGUGAGGAAUACAUCGGAAUCUACUUUUUCGUGGGGGAUAACGUAGGGAAACUUACGCUAAUACCGCAUACGACCUACGGGUGAAAGCAGGGGAUCUUCGGACCUUGCGCGAUUGAAUGAGCCGAUGUCGGAUUAGCUAGUUGGCGGGGUAAAGGCCCACCAAGGCGACGAUCCGUAGCUGGUCUGAGAGGAUGAUCAGCCACACUGGAACUGAGACACGGUCCAGACUCCUACGGGAGGCAGCAGUGGGGAAUAUUGGACAAUGGGCGCAAGCCUGAUCCAGCCAUACCGCGUGGGUGAAGAAGGCCUUCGGGUUGUAAAGCCCUUUUGUUGGGAAAGAAAUCCAGCCGGCUAAUACCUGGUUGGGAUGACGGUACCCAAAGAAUAAGCACCGGCUAACUUCGUGCCAGC
rnacentral:rRNA from 1 species